UCGAACGGGAUCCGGGCAGCUUGCUGCCUGGUGAGAGUGGCGAACGGGUGAGUAAUGCGUGACCAACCUGCCCCAUGCUUCGGAAUAGCUCCUGGAAACGGGUGGUAAUGCCGGAUGCUCCGCACCGUCGCAUGAUGGUGUGGGAAAGGGUUUACCGGCAUGGGAUGGGGUCGCGUCCUAUCAGCUUGUUGGCGGGGUGAUGGCCUGCCAAGGCUUCGACGGGUAGCCGGCCUGAGAGGGCGACCGGCCACAUUGGGACUGAGAUACGGCCCAGACUCCUACGGGAGGCAGCAGUGGGGAAUAUUGCACAAUGGGCGCAAGCCUGAUGCAGCGACGCCGCGUGCGGGAUGACGGCCUUCGGGUUGUAAACCGCUUUUGAUUGGGAGCAAGCGAGAGUGAGUGUACCUUUCGAAUAAGCACCGGCUAACUACGUGCCAGCAGCCGCGGUAAUACGUAGGGUGCAAGCGUUAUCCGGAUUUAUUGGGCGUAAAGGGCUCGUAGGCGGUUCGUCGCGUCUGGUGUGAAAGUCCAUCGCUUAACGGUGGAUCGGCGCCGGGUACGGGCGGACUGGAGUGCGGUAGGGGAGACUGGAAUUCCCGGUGUAACGGUGGAAUGUGUAGAUAUCGGGAAGAACACCGAUGGCGA
rnacentral:rRNA from 1 species